UACGGAGGGUGCAAGCGUUAUCCGGAUUUACUGGGUUUAAAGCGUGCGCAGGCGGUUCGUCGUGUCCGAUGUGAAAGCCCCGGGCUCAACCUGGGAAUGGCAUUGGAAACUGGCGGGCUUGAGUGUGGCAGAGGGGGGUGGAAUUCCGCGUGUAGCAGUGAAAUGCGUAGAGAUGCGGAGGAACACCGAUGGCGAAGGCAGCCCCCUGGGCUAACACUGACGCUCAGGCACGAAAGCGUGGGGAGCAAACAGG
rnacentral:rRNA from 1 species